ACAAAGUUUUAGGCAAAAGCAUAUCUCCUAACUUGAAAUUCCACCACAUAUUGAAGCCUACCCUAGUACUUAAUAACAGUUAUAUAUGAUCUUUGGAGACAGUAUUAGAGUCAUACUGGAAAACAAUAGGCAAUGCAAAAAUUGUAUAAUUUCAAUAUGUAGGGUAAAUGUGAUCUUUCACCAUUUUGUCGUGACUGGUUCUGUUAUAU
rnacentral:lncRNA from 1 species